AGCAGCUUUUCUUUCCCUAUGAACGUAAACCAUAGAGAAAUUCCAAACUCCAGCUAAUCAGGUUUCUGCAUCUUUAAGUCUGUUUUGAUUUAUUAAAGGAAUGAAAUGAUGAAUAAGUGUUUCGCAUCUGUACAAAUAAAAUGAUUUCUUGUAUAAGCUGUUCAGUUGCGAAGGUUGUUGCUAUAGAGUGUGUGCCCCACUCGUCUAACCCCAGCAUUGGCAUUUGCUUCAGUAACCCUGAUAAUCAGGUACCCCAGCUCCGUUUCACCUCUAAAUUUAUGCUUUAAAGAUGAAUGACAUUUCAUGCAACAAUUUACAGAGCUGCUACUGUUUAGGAAAUCUAUUCUACCAAUUUGUGUUUGUUGGUUUCAUCUUGUCAGGUGUUUAUGCCUUGUUUAGGAAAGCUAGUUUGCAGUUUGCAUUGCUGUUGGAGUUGUGUGGCCUUCAUCAUCUCUUCAAUAAUCUUCAAUAAGGGUUAUAUCAUGGCUAUUUCAGGUAAAAUUGCUAAAGAUUUUAUAUUAUAGAUAAUAUUUGUUUUUGUUAACUUGAAAAGGAAAAUGGAGUGAAAAUUCCAUUAUUGAUUGUUCUAAUAGGUUUUCUUGUGACCUUCCAUACAAUAAAUGAUUCGUUAUCUUUGCUUUAUGCUUAGCUAACAUUGUUCUUAAGAAACUGCUACUUUCAUUAACAUAAUGUAUCACAAUCAUUUAUUAAAGUGCUAUAAAAAGGUCUGUGCAGUGAUCUUUUUGUAAUAGCUUCUAUAGUGAUGUCUUGGAUGCUAUAAUCCAUUUUUGUUUUUUUGUUUCAAAUACUUCCUACUUGGCUUAGAGGGAUCUGUAUAUGCCUCUCAAAGACGAUGAGAUCUUUGAGCAUGUACAUGGGAGGUGACGAUAAGUUAAAUUUCUUGGCUAUAGACCAUGGGUUGAUAAGUUAGUACUUUUAUAAUGCGGUGAAGAUCAUCACGUGUAGAUACAAAGGAGCUAUUGGCUUAGAUUCACAUUUUAAGAUCAAUAGGAAUGGUUGAGAAGGUUGGUGUGCAAGGGACUGAGUUGCAUUCUUUUAAUUGAGACAUCUCAAAGUGUUUGUGGAAUUCACAUCCCACAAAUUGAUGCUUUCAUUGAGAGCCACCUCAACAGGAUUUUCUAUUUUGUUAUAGAUAACUUAGAACCUUGCUAUUAUUAGGGAAUCUCUUUUACAUUUUACUUUCUAAUUUGUUAUAGAUGAGAUUUCCAAUGUGGAUAUAGUUGUCUCUGCCUGAUGCAAUCCUAGACAUCCAGAUAUCUUGGAAACAUUAGCAAAGUAUGUGCUUGUUCAUAAAGUUUAUUUUUCUUUGUUCUGGGUACAUUGCUUUCUGAGCUUAUCAUUGUGCUAGUUUUUCUUUCUUCCUUUUGGUUUAAUAAAGAAUGAUAAUGAUGCAAGCCAGAAUAUUUAGCAUCUUGAGCAACCAAUUAUUCCUUGUAAAAGAAUGUUUCUUUUAUGUUGGUUUUGAUUUAAUAAGGAUUUCUUGUCAAAGAUGUUCAGUUGGCUGGUCAGGUCCCCACAAUUUUUUUUUCCCUCUUGUACUGUCUCUUCACGUCAAUAAUGCCAUAAUAUGAAGGAAACUAUGGAGUCUGUCCCCUUUUUUAAACUCUGCAGUGGCAUUUGCUUCAGUGACUCUGAUAAUCAGGUACACCAUCUUCAUUUCUCCUUUAUAUUUAUGAAAUAACCCAAUCAGUGUUUUCUUUGUUUUUUCUUUUGUGGCUUAGAUUUCUCCCUCCUUUUUUGUUUCUUUUUCUGGGGUCUCAUUUAUGUUGCUGUCACUAUGGUUAUGUUUUAAAGAUUAAUGACAUUUCAUGCAACAAUUUACAGAGCCGCUACUGUUUAGGAAAUCUAUGCUACCAAUUUGUGUUCUUUGGUUUCAUCUUAUCAGAUGUUUUGAGCCUUGUUUUGGAAAUCUGUGGUAAAUAAAAUUUAGGUUUGUUCGAAUUUAAAAAGCUGCUACAGUUUAAAGAAAUCUUUUGUCCCAAUUCUUGAUUGCUGGUUUUAUCUUUUAUGAUGGUGAGCUUUAUUUUCAGGUGCAAUGAUGUUUGAGGUCCAAGGUAUUCUUUUUCUAUUUUUUUUGUUUUUUCAUGGUUUCAAUAUUGGUCUUAGUAAAAUAAAAGAAUUGACAUAUGGGCAGAAAUUGUGGGGAUAAAUGGACAUCAUAAGAAAAGCAACAAAGAUAAUAGAUUUACCUAUUCCAUUGUCUAAUUGAGAAUCAAUUACACUAGAUUUAAUCCUGUUUUUCUUUUGGGUUUUGGUCAAGAUCUGGUUGCAUAAGGUUGGCCGUUGUCAAACCUGCAAGUCCAAAUCAAAUUUUGCUAAUAGCAGAGUCAAAUAGCAUGGUACUGAGACAUUGUGCAUUGGAGAUUUUUCUGUUAUCUGUUUUCUGCACUUACCUUACCCCAUACUAAUAUGAUUUUCAUGGGAUUAUGUGCACUAUAUGAGAUCUGGAGGUAAUUGUGAGUACGUAUUAUACGAUCCGAAUGACACAAAAACAGUUUAUGAUUUGAGUUGCAGUAUUUAGUUCUCUACUAGCUAAUCGUUACAUUAUUAGUGGACCAUGAAUGGUCAGGUCUCUUCAAUUAUAUGGGGAAUAUAAUGCCCUCAUUCAAGUUUAUUAAGUAUUGUAUUGUUUCACAUGUUCUGAAUAUUUACGUACAUUUAACCUUUAACUAAAGGAAAACCUUGGUGCAGUAUCAUCAAACCCUUAGUGAAAAUGUCCAUUAGUGCCAUUCACAUAUUUCUUUGUGAUGUUUCUGUUUCUUGACGGUUCUUCAGCGAAAUUGAAGCAUUUCUCAUAAUAUGCCCCUCUUGUGCUCUCUUUGCAUAAAUAAUGUCAUAAUAUGAUGAAAACUAUGGGGUGCAUGCCCCCCCACGUCAGAUCGCAGCAUUGACAUUUGCUUCAGUAACCCUGAUGAUCAGGUACCCAAUCUUCAUUUCUCCUCUAAAUUUAUGAAAUAACCCAGUUAGUCUUUUCUUUGUUGCCGUUGUGCCUUAGAUUUCUCUCCCAUUUUAUUGAUUUUUUCCCUGACUUCUCAUUUAUGGUAUUGCCACUAUGGUUUUGUUUUAAAGACGAAUGACAUUUGAUACAACAAUUUACAGAGCUGUUACCUUCAGGAAAUCUAUGCUACCAAUUUGUCUUUGUUGGUUUCAUCUUGUCAGGUGUUUGAGCCUUGUUUAGGAAAUCUGUGGUAAAUAAAAUUUGUGUUUGUUUG